rnacentral:lncRNA from 1 species
AUGACUAGUGACUAGAUGCCAAGGUCACCAUCCCUUAGAGGUUGGCACAACACAUCCCAAGUAAGCAAAUGGACACCUCCCCCUCCUCCCGGGCGGGAUCCUCACAAAAGCUCUGAAAAAACUACUCUAGUCUUACCACCAGAGCUCUGAAGAGAACCAUGUUCAAGAGUAGGUACACUGAAAUAAAGCUGAGAACAGACCUCAUCAAGGUGAUCCGAUCCAUCAUAGACAAUGCACGGGCCUGCCAACCCUCCAGCCAUCGGCAGACCAUCUGCUCGAUAUCCAUACAUUCUGUCCUCUGCAAUCUACGCUUGAUGAUAGGGACACCCAUAUACUGUAAAGUGCCAC